ensembl:lncRNA
GGGUCCUCCUCCUCAGAGAUGUUCUCCUGGCGUGGAUGUGAAGCCUCUGUGUUCUCCUCCUCAGAGAUGUCCUGCUGGCGUGGAUGUGAAGCCUCUGGGUCCUCCUCCUCAGAGAUGUCCUGCUGGCGUGGAUGUGAAGCCUCUGGGUUCUCCUCCUCAGGUUCCUCCUCCUCCUCCUCGGACUCACUGCUGUCAGAGUCAGACUUCUCAUGACUCCUGUGUUGUUCACCCAAAGGGGACCUCUGCUGACUGCUCAUCAGCUGCUCAUCGGUUUCCCCUGACACUCCGUCAGGGUCGUGACCUGUGACCUCUGACCUGCUGCGUGUGGGUGAGGACUCCCUCUGAUCUGAGAUCAGUGUGUGUUCGUCCAGCUGCCCCUCUGCCUGUGUGACAUCACACUCGUCCUCGCUCCGAUCCUGCUGGGUGGACUCUAUCUCAGACACGUCCUGUAGUGUGGAUGUUUGGACAUCUUUAUCUGUCUCUGUCACAUCAUCAUCAUCAUCCUCAUCAUCACCAUCCUCAUUCUCAGGUUUCCUCACUUCCUCUGUCUCUACCUCACAGUCUCCAUGGGAAUCUUCAGCUCCAGUCAUGGACAUGAUUCCUCCACUUUCCUCUGCAGACCCGUGUCCAGCCAUGUCCUGAGUAUCAGGUUUCUCUGUAUCUGUGUCUUCCACGUCCACAUCCGACUCUGACCCUGACCCUGACCCCAUGCCCUCCUCUCUGGUGGUCUCUGCGUGCCCACUCCCAACACCCCCCUCUGCUCCCGAUGCCAGUCCUCGCCCAUCAUCCUCCUCAUGGCUACCUGCAGCCUCUGUCUCAGUGUGUUCUGUCCGUUUGAGCUCCGGGUCCUGAGUGACUUCAGAGGUGGCUGAGACCUCCUGCGCCUCCUCACGUUGAUCUCCCAAACAUGUCUGAUCCUCAGGUGUGACCUCUCUCCCAUGAUCCUCAGGUGUGACCUCUCUCCCAUGAUCCUCAGGUGUGACCUCACUCCCACGCUUGUCGCCAUCUCCAGCAAGGUGCUCAUCCAGCGAAUUCUUACUCUGUUCUGCGGAUUCGGCUCUGAGGUUUGCUAAUCCGACGGGAGUUUCCAGCUCCUCCUGGGACUCAGACAGCCCCUUCUCCUCCAGCUGGCUUCCAGAAGCUUCUACAAAGCUGUAUUCUUUUACGCUGCCCUCAGACAUGGGGUUCUGAUCAGCCCGCUGGCCUCCCAGCUCCCCAGCGCAUACGUCGACACUCGCGAGUCCACCGAUGUACACCUCCGAGGACUGCUCUAGCUCUGACCUGCAGAUAUCAACAUCUAUAUACUUACUGGUGUCCUCCUUCACCUCUUCCCCAUCACCUCCCUCCCCGGCUUCCUCCUCUACCUCUGCGUCACCUCCUUCUACAGCCUCUUCUGUGGACCCCCCUCCUCCCCUCAGCUUCUCUACAC